rnacentral:lncRNA from 1 species
AUAUACUCUUGAGAUUACGAGAUUGUCCUCAACUAGAGCCUUUGAAAUACAAUAUCCUCUAAGUCUGUUGGUAGAAACAAGAUCAAUUGCAGAUUUCCAGAGCUUCCUUAGGGCAGUUGUAUGCAUCAUAGUUUUCGUGUCGUGGCCUUUGAUCAGGGGGUUCUUUUCUGCAGGUUCAAAAGCUGGCACUCUUCUCAGGUACACCAUGGGGGUUUCCCAUUGAGUUAGGUGGAUAUCUUGCUCUUCAUAAAAGCUGAUCUAUCUGAUGAUCAGGAACCUAGGUCUGAUGACUCCUUCCAC